CUUGAUGGUGGCUGUGCGCAGGGCGUCCUCGGGCGCGCCGGCUUUGUGUGUUUCCCCGGUCUACUAACCUGUGCACAGCUGCCACCCUU
ncrna:unclassified sequences C4 antisense RNA